rnacentral:rRNA from 1 species
GACGAACGCUGGCGGCGUGCUUAACACAUGCAAGUCGAACGGAAAGGCCCUGCUUUUGUGGGGUGCUCGAUUGGCGAACGGGUGAGUAACACGUGAGUAACCUGCCCUUGACUUUGGGAUAACUUCAGGAAACUGGGGCUAAUACCGCAUAGGAGCUCCUGCUGCAUGGUGGGGGUUGGAAAGUUUCGGCGGUUGGGGAUGGACUCGCGGCUUAUCAGCUUGUUGGUGGGGUAGUGGCUUACCAAGGCUUUGACGGGUAGCCGGCAUGGGAGGGUGACCGGCCACCUUGGGCCUGAGAUACGGCCCAGACUCCUACGGGAGGCAGCAGUGGGGAAUAUUGCACAAUGGGCGGAAGCCUGAUGCAGCAACGCCGCGUGCGGGAUAACGGCCUUCGGGUUGUAAACCGCUUUCGCCUGUGACGAAGCGGGAGUGACGGUAAUGGGUAAAGAAGCACCGGCUAACUACGUG